rnacentral:rRNA from 1 species
GACGAACGCUGGCGGCGUGCUUAACACAUGCAAGUCGAACGGAGAUUAGAUGGAAGCUUGCGAAAUCUAAUCUCAGUGGCGGACGGGUGAGUAACGCGUGGAUAACCUGCCUGGUAGACCGGGACAACAGCUGGAAACGGCUGCUAAUACCGGAUACGCUCUGCUGAACGCAUGUUCUACAGAGGAAAGCUUUAGUGCUAUCAAAUGGAUCCGCGUCCCAUUAGCUAGUUGGAGGUGUAAAAGACCCCCAAGGCGACGAUGGGUAGCCGGCCUGAGAGGGCGAACGGCCACACUGGGACUGAGACACGGCCCAGACUCCUACGGGAGGCAGCAGUGGGGAAUCUUCCGCAAUGGGCGAAAGCCUGACGGAGCAACGCCGCGUGAGGGAAGAAGGCUUUCGGGUUGUAAACCUCUGUUUUCAGGGAAGAAAAAAAUGACGGUACCUGAAGAGAAAGCUCCGGCUAACUACGUGCCAGCAGCCGCGGUAAUACGUAGGGAGCAAGCGUUGUCCGGAUUUACUGGGCGUAAAGGGCGCGUAGGUGGUCUAUUAAGUUAGAGGUAAAAGUGCGGGGCUCAACCCCGUGACGCCUCUGAUACUGGUAGACUUGAGUACAGGAGAGGGUAGCAGAAUUCCCAGUGUAGCGGUGAAAUGCGUAGAUAUUGGGAGGAAUACCAGUGGCGAAGGCGGCUAUCUGGACUGAAACUGACACUGAGGCGCGAAAGCGUGGGGAGCGAACAGGAUUAGAUACCCUGGUAGUCCACGCCGUAAACGAUGAGUGCUAGGUGUUGCGGGUAUCGACCCCUGCAGUGCCGUAGUAAAC